rnacentral:rRNA from 1 species
AUUGAACGCUAGCGGAAUGCCUAACACAUGCAAGUCGAACGAGUGGCGGACGGGUGAGUAAUGUAUGGGAAACUGCCAGAUGGAGGGGGAUAACUACAGGAAAGGGUGGCUAAUACCGCAUAGCAUAAGAGGUGCCCAGAUGGGAUUAGCUAGUUGGUGGGGUAACGGCUCACCAAGGCGACGAUGCCUAGCUGGUUUGAGAGGAUGACCAGCCACACUGGAACUGAGACACGGUCCAGACUCCUACGGGAGGCAGCAGUGGGGAAUAUUGCACAAGGGGCGCAAGCCUGAUGCAGCCAUGCCGCGUGUAUGAAGAAGGCCUUCGGGUUGUAAAGUACUUUCAGCUGGGAGGCGUUACCUGCAGAAGAAGCACCGGCUAACUCCGUGCCAGCAGCCGCGGUAAUAC